rnacentral:snRNA from 1 species
CAGAGCUUCUAUCCUGUUUC